AAGGAAUAUUGGUCAAUGGACGAAAGUCUGAACCAGCCAUGCCGCGUGGAGGAUGAAGGUCCUCUGGAUUGUAAACUUCUUUUAUAUGGGACGAAAAAAGGCCUUUCUAGGCCGUCUGACGGUACCAUAUGAAUAAGCACCGGCUAACUCCGUGCCAGCAGCCGCGGUAAUACGGAGGGUGCAAGCGUUAUCCGGAUUCACUGGGUUUAAAGGGUGCGUAGGUGGGUUGAUAAGUCAGCGGUGAAAUCUCCGAGCUUAACUUGGAAACUGCCAUUGAUACUAUUAAUCUUGAAUAUUGUGGAGGUUAGCGGAAUAUGUCAUGUAGCGGUGAAAUGCUUAGAUAUGACAUAGAACACCAAUUGCGAAGGCAGCUGGCUACACAUAUAUUGACACUGAGGCACGAAAGCGUGGGGAUCAAAC
rnacentral:rRNA from 1 species